rnacentral:tRNA from 1 species
AUUCAGAUAGUUUAAAUAAAAUAUUGAUUUGUGGUGUCAAAGAAAUAAUUGCUAUUCUGGGUU